GGGGGAUUAGCUCAGUUGGGAGAGCGCCGCCUUUGCAAGGCGGAGGUCGCCGGUUCGACCCCGGUAUCCUCCA
rnacentral:tRNA from 2 species